CCAGACACCCACAAGCAGGUUUCCAAACCAGCUGCACUGGGCGUUUUCCAAAAGAUGUGUCCCUGACACCGGGUGCCCGUGGCUACCCUUGUUCCCCAUCAGGCCAGAAGACUGACCGAUAGGAGUAAAGGGUCAUGAGCAUGGCUGUGGAAUGAGGCAUGAAGAGCGCGGGGCCUGUUCGCUUUAGCCCCAGCUGUCCAGCGUUACCCAGCUCUGCCUUCCAGCCCGCCCCUGGCACGUUGCACUCGAGGGUGGGCUGCGCGGCACUUCCCUGAGAAGAAGGAUCCAGCCCAAGUCACCACAUCGCAUUUGAUCAUCAUGUUUCCUUAGCCUUUGGCUUGUGUGACAGUUUUUCAUCUUGGUUUUUCAUAACCUUGACAAUUUUGAGGAGCACUGGUUCGAUAUGUUGUGGAAUAUCUCUCACUUUGGCUUUGUCUGAUUUUUUUUUCAUGGUUCAUCUGGGUCGAAGGAUAUUUGGGACAAAUACCUCGGAUGUGAAAUGCCUUUCUCGUCCAGCCCAUCAGGUGGCCCAUGCUGCCAGCAUGACUUAGAACUAACUGGUGGCCUUAGCCUCGGUCGCUUUGUUCCGGUGGUGGUGGCCAGGCUCCUCCGCUGGGAAGUCCUUGUUUCUCACUUUCCUUACUCUGUUCUUUGGAGGCAAGUCACUAAGUUCGACCCACAGUCCAGAUGAGGGGUGGGGGUUAAACGCCCCCUCAGGAAAGGAAGAUAUAUUGGUCUGUUAGGGCUGCCAUAACCAAAUACCAGACACGGGGUGGUUUGAACUACAG